CUUUUACUUUCAGUAUUUGCAGGCCUUUGCUGGAUGGAUCAGAAAGCUGUCUGAUAACAAACCAUAUCUAUGUGUGUGUGUGUUUAUUAUCCUACCUCACUGCCCCUCCACCUCUGCAGAAAAAAACAGGUAGACGGAAGUGAAAGUGAAAGUCAGAGUCUCCAUUUUGUGUGGAGGGGAAAGUACACCAUUUCAGGAGUAAAAACACAGGUUUGAUUUAACACACCGAUGUUGGAGUGAAGUAAACGUGUGUCCUGCUGAUAUCUGGAGAAGGAGACAUGACCUCCAACAUGAGUGUGUCUGGAGAACAGGACUUAAAGAAAGACGAGAGACCAUAACAGAAGAAAUCUAACCUCAGCAGAAAUCAGUUGGUCUCCAUAUUUAAGGAGCUGGAACACAAAGUCAUCAUUCUGAUAAAGAAUGAGCUGAAGUGGUUUAGGAAGCUCCUGAGUCCAGAUUACCCAGCAUGCACUGAGAGGGAGGUGGAGGAUGAGGAGGAUCUGCAGAGUGUCAGAGACGGAGCGCUGAAGAUCACACUGCACGUCCUGAAGAACAUGAACCACACAGAUCUCGCUAACACACUGCACAACAGUAAGAGCUCUGAGUCAUGGCUUUAUUCCGUCAGGUUCACUUUAGAGAGAGGAAAUAGUUUUAGAUAUGAACACUUUUAGUUUGAAGUUUGAGUUUAGUAUCAUGUACAUCUGCUGCUUUUCUGUUCUGUUCGUGGUCCAGCUUGUGGUGACUCUGUCCAAUGACCCUGUUCCUUCAGGAAUAUUUAGUACAUGAAUCAGGAAUGAACAGCAGCAUUUGAAUUUUACAUUUAAUCCUGUGUUCAGCGAUUUUACAUUAAAACAUGUUAUUA